rfam:Bhargavaea cecembensis DSE10 contig000007, whole genome shotgun sequence.
UUGUGAAUAUCGUUUGUACCGUAGACAGCAGGGGCGGCAUGCCGCUUAAACUUCCCUGCCGAGGACAAAGACGUGCUUGAUCGAAUGAAGCCGACUUUAAUGCCCUGUGUCUGCGUUCGCGGAUACAGGGCUUUUCCAUUGAUAUG